rnacentral:rRNA from 1 species
CAGUCGCCGCGGUAAAACGUAGGUGGCAAGCGUUGUCCGGAAUUAUUGGGCGUAAAGGGCUCGUAGGCGGUUUCUUAAGUCUGAUGUGAAAGCCCCCGGCUCAACCGGGGAGGGUCAUUGGAAACUGGGAAACUUGAGUGCAGAAGAGGAGAGUGGAAUUCCACGUGUAGCGGUGAAAUGCGUAGAGAUGUGGAGGAACACCAGUGGCGAAGGCGACUCUCUGGUCUGUAACUGACGCUGAGGAGCGAAAGCGUGGGGAGCGAACAGGAUUAGAGACCCCAGUAGUCCCUGUCUCUUAUAC